rnacentral:tRNA from 1 species
GGAGAGGUGCGAGAGCGGCCGAUUCGGCACGAUUGGAAAUCGUGUGUGCAGCAAUGCACCGUGGGUUCGAAUCCCACCCUCUCCG